rnacentral:rRNA from 1 species
CAGUCGCCGCGGGAAUACGAAGGGUGCAAGCGUUACUCGGAAUUACUGGGCGUAAAGCGCGUGUAGGUGGUUGUUUAAGUCUGUCGUGAAAGCCCUGGGCUCAACCUGGGAAUUGCGAUGGAUACUGGGCGACUAGAGUGCGGUAGAGGAUAGUGGAAUUUCCGGUGUAGCAGUGAAAUGCGUAGAGAUCGGAAGGAACAUCUGUGGCGAAGGCGACUAUCUGGGCCAACACUGACACUGAGACACGAAAGCGUGGGGAGCAAACAGGAUUAGAUACCCGCGUAGUCCCUGUCUCUUAUAC